CCUUAAAUUUACCUCUUCCUCUUCUUGCUAAUCUUCCACGAAGUAAUUUAUUACUCUUUCAAGACGAUUUUUCAACUUCCAACCAUUCUUCAAUCUCAGGUACUUUUGCUUUUAUCUCUUUAUCCAUUUUUCAUUCUCUCAAGACAUGGCCUUUGUACAUGAAUGUGAUGAUAAUGAAAAUGAGUUUAAAACCCUAAGUAUCCCAGAAAAGAAAAAUAUAUGGGACUUACGCAUGAGAGAGUGUAAGGAUGCCUUAGCCAAGCUGAAUUUGAUCGUAUUGUAAAGGAGUUUUACAACAAUAAUGAUGUUUCUUUAAGCGAUACUGAUUAUGAAUCUUCUUCAUCAGGUUCAUCAGUAGAAGUGUUAAUGGAGAUUGCCGACUCCUUUUACUCAAAGGUGAUGAGUUAUGAUCAUAGUUUCAUUGAAGAAGUAGAUAUUUCUAGACUUCGAUCUUUGAAGAACAUAUCCUCUACCAGAAAUGAGGAUGAUGUUGUAUUGGAACCAUGCAUCCCAAGGGAACGUGUGUGUAUAGUCCAUCCUAAAGGAGUCAAAGAUGAGUAUUUCCAUUUCUAUGAUGGUGUACUAGAUAAUUUUAAAAUCCAUUUACCUUUUACCGAUUUUGAAUCCGACCUAUUAAGAACCCUAAACAUUUCCCCUUCCUAACUCCUCCCCAACAGCUGGGGGUUUAUCAAGGUUUUCGAAAUAUUAUGUGAAGCCAUAAACAUAGAGCCCACCAUAUGCUUGUUUUUCUCUAUUUUUGAAAUCAAGGGUGUUGAGAAGGGUGGUUGGGUCACAAUUAGUGGUCUUCCCAACAAGAGUUUUCUUCAAGUUUACACUACCAAUUAUAAAGGCUUUCAAGACCGGUUUCUCCGGGUUAAAUGUGGACUAAGAUGUCCUCAAGUAUUAUAUGCAUUAGAGAAUCCCCACCGUGUUCCUAUUUAUUGGACUGGAAACCCACUUCCGGUAUUUGGCUUUGAUUUUGAUAAGCUAAGUGCUCUAUAAAUCAAGUAUUUAGCCAUAUUAGAUUCCUUUCUUAUGAUGAAGGUCUGAGAUCUAUUGCCUUUAUCCGAGGAACAAGUCAUUCCUUUCUUGGAAAAAAAUGACUGACAUGUCUGUGAAAUAGUAUAAAAGGCUGAUGUUGGAAGCCUGGGCGGCGAGAAGAGGAGUUGCGUCUAAAUAAGAUUUGUUCGAUUUAGAAACCUGGUCAUUAAAGAAGAGAUAGGUAGCACCAAAUAAAACAGCCCCAAGCGUUUCUGAGCCCCAAGUCUCAACCAUCUCGUCUCCAGUGGACUCUUGCCCCAACUCCCUGGAGAAGAUAAAAACAUUGAUGAGUGAUGAGAUUCGCAGAGCCGACUGGGAAAUUUCCUCUUUGAUACACGAGGCUGGUGGAAUCGACCAAGCCAAACCAUCCAAUGAGUUCAAAUUAUGGAGUAACAACUUUGAUGGAUUGAAAUUCCUAUAUGACCACCUGAAUUCCACGGAAGACGUGAACAAGAUAAAGAUAAUAGGUCAAAAAAAAUGACCUAAAACAUCAGUUCCUAUCUGAUGAGAUUUCUUGUCUUGAUUAGAGGUUUGUUUGAAUCCAUUGGCGAUUAUGAGCUGAAUAAGAUCAAGCUCAACCAUGAGAUCAGUCAAUUGAAAGAAUAACAGAAGGCACUAGCAGAUAAGAAUUCCAACCUGGAGAAACAUUUGUUAGAGGAGAAGAUAAAGAGGGAAAGAUCAGACACUGGGAAUUGGAAAUUGCAGUUCAUUGUCACCAAGUUGUCCGAGGAUAUGAAAUCAACUCGGGAAUCGAAUGACCAACUACAAAAAUCCUUGCAUAAAGAUCAAAUUGAUGUUCUUGAUGUUGGUGAUGAUGUUUUUGACAUGGAAAGGGAUCAAGUCUUGUGUCUCCAGCCUGGGCUUGAUUUGUCUGAGAUAGAUUUUUUUAAAGUUAUGGUUGACGGUCGCCUCAUGGACAUGGACGAACACGAGUCUUCUCCCGCUAAUGACUUGACCCAGAAUGACUGUGUCGAAGAUACCAACCUUAAAGUUGUUGGCAAGGAUAAAAAUGAAGAAUAAUCUUACUUCUAUCCCCGUUUUCGUUAGUCAUCCCUUAGGAUGAAUUUUGUAAUGUUUCUCAGAAUGUUGUCUGUUUUUCCUUUCUGUUUUGUACCUGGAUCCUGUUGUGAUCCGUAAUAUCUAUAAAAAUCUUGUGUCAAGUUCCAUUCUA